AUUGAACGCUGGCGGCAUGCCCUACACAUGCAAGUCGAGCGGCAGCGCGGUCUUCGGACUGGCGGCGAGCGGCGAACGGGUGAGUAAUACAUCGGAACAUGCCCAGUCGUGGGGGAUAACACUUCGAAAGAAGUGCUAAUACCGCAUACGUCCUGAGGGAGAAAGCGGGGGAUCGCAAGACCUCGCGCGAUUGGAGUGGCCGAUGUCAGAUUAGCUAGUUGGUGGGGUAAAGGCCUACCAAGGCAACGAUCUGUAGCUGGUCUGAGAGGAUGAUCAGCCACACUGGGACUGAGACACGGCCCAGACUCCUACGGGAGGCAGCAGUGGGGAAUUUUGGACAAUGGGGGCAACCCUGAUCCAGCCAUUCCGCGUGAGUGAAGAAGGCCUUCGGGUUGUAAAGCUCUUUCGGCAGGAACGAAACGGCGAGCUCUAACAUAGCUCGCUAAUGACGGUACCUGAAGAAGAAGCACCGGCUAACUACGUGCCAGCCGCCGCCGUAAAAC
rnacentral:rRNA from 1 species